GACAGAGGGUGCAAACGUUGCUCGGAAUCACUGGGCGUAAAGGGCGUGUAGGCGGGAAGGAAAGUCAGAUGUGAAAUCCCCAGGCUCAACCCUGGGAACUGCAUUUGAAACUCCCUUUCUUGAGUACCGGAGAGGAAAGUGGAAUUCCUGGUGUAGAGGUGAAAUUCGUAGAUAUCAGGAGGAACACCAGUGGCGAAGGCGGCUUUCUGGACGGUAACUGACGCUGAG
rnacentral:rRNA from 1 species